rnacentral:tRNA from 2 species
GAGCUCGUAGCUCAGAUGGUAGAGCACCGCCCUUUUAAGGCGAGGGUCCUGGGUUCGAUCCCCAGCGAGCUCACCA